rnacentral:rRNA from 1 species
GACGAACGCUGGCGGCGUGCUUAACACAUGCAAGUCGGACGGAAAGGCCCUGCUUUUGUGGGGUGCUCGAGUGGCGAACGGGUGAGUAACACGUGAGUAACCUGCCCUUGACUUUGGGAUAACUUCAGGAAACUGGGGCUAAUACCGGAUAGGAGCUCCUGCUGCAUGGUGGGGGUUGGAAAAUUUCGGCGGUUGGGGAUGGACUCGCGGCUUAUCAGCUUGUUGGUGGGGUAGUGGCUUACCAAGGCUUUGACGGGUAGCCGGCCUGAGAGGGUGACCGGCCACAUUGGGACUGAGAUACGGCCCAGACUCCUACGGGAGGCAGCAGUGGGGAAUAUUGCACAAUGGGCGGAAGCCUGAUGCAGCAACGCCGCGUGCGGGAUGACGGCCUUCGGGUUGUAAACCGCUUUCGCCUGUGACGAAGCGUGAGUGACGGUAAUGGGUAAAGAAGCACCGGCUAACUACGUG